rnacentral:tRNA from 1 species
GGAUAUAGCUCAGUGGUAGAGUGUGUGCUUAGCAUGCACGAGGUCUUGGGUUCAAUUCCCAGCACCUCCA